rnacentral:rRNA from 1 species
AACGAACGCUGGCGGCAUGCCUAACACAUGCAAGUCGAACGAGACCUUCGGGUCUAGUGGCGCACGGGUGCGUAACGCGUGGGAAUCUGCCCUUGGGUUCGGAAUAACAGUUAGAAAUGACUGCUAAUACCGGAUAAUGUCUUCGGACCAAAGAUUUAUCGCCCAGGGAUGAGCCCGCGUAGGAUUAGCUAGUUGGUGAGGUAAAGGCUCACCAAGGCGACGAUCCUUAGCUGGUCUGAGAGGAUGAUCAGCCACACUGGGACUGAGACACGGCCCAGACUCCUACGGGAGGCAGCAGUGGGAAUAUUGGACAAUGGGCGAAAGCCUGAUCCGAGCAAUGCCGCGUGAGUGAUGAA